UCUCGAGUAGAGUAUCCCCGCCUGUCAUUCCAAAUAUGCACCCUUGACAGUACAUAUGGAUAGACUGACCGCGGGAGACCGGGGUUCAAUUCCCCGCUCGAGAG